rnacentral:rRNA from 1 species
UACGGGAGGCAGCAGUGGGGAAUAUUGCACAAUGGGCGAAAGCCUGAUGCAGCUAUGCCGCGUGUAUGAAGAAGGCCUUAGGGUUGUAAAGUACUUUCAUCGGGGAGGAAAAACAAAACUAAUAAUUUUAUUUCUUGACGUUACCCGAAAAAGAAGCACCGGCUAACUCCGUGCCAGCAGCCGCGGUAAUACGGAGGGUGCUAGCGUUAAUCAGAAUUACUGGGCGUAAAGAGCACGUAGGUGGUUUUUUAAGUCAGAUGUGAAAUCCCUGGGCUUAACCUAGGAACUGCAUUUUGAAACUGAAAUACUAGAGUAUCGUAGAGGGAGGUAGAAUUCUAGGUGUAGCGGUGAAAUGCGUAGAUAUCUGGAGGAAUACCUGUGGCGAAAGCGGCCUCUAAACGAAUACUGACACUGAGUGCGAAAGCGUGGGGAGCAAACAGGGAUUAGAUACC